CAGACGAGUUCGUUUCACGUGUUGUAUGAGUGUUGCUUCUGGAAGUCGCAUCAACUCAUGUCCUGAGUCAGUAAAGGUACCUAUGUCGACUGGUUUCAGGUCUCGACACUGAAUUUGUCGAGAGGUUAACUUUUUAAGUCACAUAGUAUGGCAAAGUAUGGUAUGAUUGUGGAAUUUUUAUCUUCAAAACGACCAUAAACAGCUGUGACAUCAACAAAACCGGCCGACUUUUUCGGAAUCUGCAAUUCAUGGAUGUAGGUGAUUUCUUCUGUUGCCAGACAGACGAAGUCACCUUACACUCAUUGAAGAAGAACUGUGACUCAUUUAUUCAAAGUGCGACGUUAGCCAUGUGCGAGAAGUGGCUACCAUACAAAAGCAAGACAGUGAAAGUAUAGUCUUGGUAGACAGCUCGGCAGGGGGUUUGAGGCUAUUAUUCUCAGUAAAUAUAGACUAUUUCAGUCCAGCUUGCUUAUUCAAGUGUGAUACAACAGAUUAUAAAAUAAAUAACAUUUUUUAAAAAUGACAUAUUUAAUCACUUGACUGUAAUGUUAUAAGUAAUGUUAUAAGCACUUUACAAUCUAUCCCGCAUAUGAUAGAUACUUUCAACAAAAAGAAAGAUAUCAUUCUGAUCACACAAAAAAUAAUUUAACUAUUUUUUUGGACGCAGUAUUCAUUCGCACCCUCUCUCACGGCUUUUUUUAAUGUGCACUGAGCACUUAAAUGUGUUAUUUUAUGCUAAAAAAAUACAGAACAUAAAUUUUUUGAUAAACAGAGUAAGAAUUUGAAAUGCUCACAAAAGUUCUCCAGCAAAUAAGAAUUAGCGACCCAUCUCAAGGGAUGAAUUUGGCCCACAAACACCAUGCUCGUUUUUUUUUUCUUUUAGAUCGAAGACAUUUAAGUAACUUUUCAACGCGAUAAGCAGAGGCUAAAUGAGAUUUGAACUAAUAAACUGCUUGAGCUGAA